rnacentral:rRNA from 1 species
UACGUAGGUGGCAAGCGUUGUCCGGAUUUAUUGGGCGUAAAGCGCGCGCAGGCGGUCUUUUAAGUCUGAUGUGAAAUCUUACAGCUUAACUGUAAGCGGUCAUUGGAAACUGGGAGACUUGAGUGCAGAAGAGGAGAGUGGAAUUCCAUGUGUAGCGGUGAAAUGCGUAGAGAUAUGGAGGAACACCAGUGGCGAAGGCGACUCUCUGGUCUGCAACUGACGCUGAGGCGCGAAAGCGUGGGGAUCAAACAGG